rnacentral:rRNA from 1 species
AUGUCCAUAUUAGCUAUAGACGUUUUUCUAGUAGUGCCUUCGGGAGAAUUCUCCGUUAGUUCAGCCUAUCAGGCGUUAUGUCGGAUGCCGGUUAUACAGUGGUUAUCCCCACUGUGGAAGGCACUGUUACCUUUGAAGAUUAAGAUUUUUGUUUGGCAGCUUCUCCGAGACCGUCUACCUUCGGGGACCGAGGUCCUGAAACGCCAUGGUCCGGGCAAUGGACUUUGCCCUUUGUGCCAUGUCCCAGAAACGGGAACGCACAUUUUGUUUUCUUGCGUAGCAGUGCAGGCACUUUGGGGCUUCGUACGUGAGGCUUUAGGGCCAGAGUGGGAGGCCCAUGACCUUGCAGGGUUUCUGCAGGUUAGGGCCACUCAGGUUGGCCGUAAGCGCCGACUAUUCUGGCUCAUCUUUGCAGCUAUGAUGUGGACUCUCUGGACUACUCGCAACAUGAUGGUGAUUGAGCGGGUGUUCCCGCGACGUGCUUCUGACUCAUUCUUCAAAUUUCUUGCCUUCCUGUAG